rnacentral:tRNA from 1 species
GCCGGGAUGGCGGAAUUGGUAGACGCGAUGGACUCAAAAUCCAUUGUCUGUAUAGACGUGCGGGUUCAAGUCCCGCUCCCGGUA